AUGCUGCACUGAGUCCGACCCGGAAAUUUAAGUCCCACUCGCUAAGGGCGGACUGGAGCGUGUAAAAAAAAAAGAAAAAAUAUAUAUAUACACGCACGCGGGGUUUUGUUAUUUUGUUUUUAGAUGUAGUAACUGCUGUAUUUCCUCUUGGAAGUCGUCUUUCAGAAAAAGCGGCUCCCGUAGGACUCAAAACCCGUUCCUACAGUAGAAAGGCUUGGGGCCAGAAGGCGGAGGUCACGGAACGGAAUUGGCGGGAGAAUAAGAUCCGGAGCUCCGGAGCUGAGGCUACCACGACGUAAAGUUUACGAACUCGGCUACCAAGAGCAAAACAUCAACAGUACCACCGUGGCUACAGAAGACAUCGGGGGAGGAAGCGUGUCUUCCUCGCACUUAAGGAAGCUGGUGGCGUCCGAUGGCUCCUGUGAAGAUCAGCCAUGUGGUGUCAUUUUCCUCUCAGGAUCCCAAAUAUCCUGUGGAGAACUUGCUGAACCCAGACAGUCACAGGGGACCCUGGCUCAGCUGCCCUCAGGACAAGACUGGACAACUGAAAGUGGAGUUUCAGCUGGAGAGGGCAGUGCCCAUAAGCUAUAUUGAUGUUGGAAACUGUGGCUGUGCUUUCCUACAGAUUGAUGUGGGUCGUUCUUCCUGGCCCCUGGACAGACCUUUCGUCACCCUGCUCCCUGCCACCAUGCUAAUGUCCCGCACUGACUCCAAGUCGGGGAAGAACCGCUCAGGGGUCCGGAUGUUUAAAGAUGGUGAUUUCCUGACUCCAGCCUCAGGAGAGUCCUGGGAUCGACUUCGAUUGACCUGCUCCCAACCUUUCACACGUCAUCAGUCCUUUGGCCUGGCCUUCCUACGAGUGCGUUCCUCUCUGGGCUCUCUGGCUGACCCUGUAGUAGAUCCCUCAGCCCCUGGGAGCUCUGGGCUUAACCAGAACUCUACAGAUGUGCUGGAGUCUGAUCCUAGGCCCUGGCUGACUAAUCCUUCUAUCCGGAGGACAUUCUUCCCCGAUCCCCAGACGAGCACCAAGGAAAUUUCAGAGCUCAAGGGUAUGUUGAAGCAGUUGCAGCCAGGGCCUCUGGGGCGGGCAGCCCGCAUGGUGCUUUCUGCUGCCCGUAAGGCCCCUCCAGCCAGUGUGGUAAGCCCAAACAACAGCCACGGAGAACCAGGUCCCAGCCGUGCAGAGAGUGCAGAGCCCAGAGCAGAAGAACCAAACAGGAAGACGGCUGUGGGCAGAAGGAAGAGGAGGAAAGUGCAGGAGCCAAGGAGAUCGUUGUCCAACUCGAGUUCUCAGCCAAAUAGGAGGACAGGAAGGACAAGACAAAGACAGCACCGACCUCAGACCAAAAGUGAUGACGGUGGUGUGCAGGCUGCUGGACAGUGUCCUAUUUGUGCAGGUUUCUUCAGUAUUGAGACUCUUCCCCAGCAUGCUGCAACUUGUGGAGAGAGCCCCCCACCCCAGCCAGCUUCUCCUGCCUCCUUGUCUUCCUCGGAGUCCGUGCUGUGGGUCUCCUCCCCAGAGAGCUCGCCGCCACCUUCCUGGGUCCAGUGCCCUAUCUGUGAAUUACAGUUCUCAGCAAGAGAAAUAGAAGAACAUGCCAGCGUGUGUGGGGAAGUUUUGCCAGCCUGAGCAGUGACGUUCUGUUGACCCUUUAUGUUGGAGCCUGGGGAAUGGAUCUCUGGUGGCUAAGAAGGGUUGGGUCCCCUCCCUCCAGCUAUUACUCAGGACUCCGCCUGCCUGAGAACACUGUGGACCCAGCUUGCUCCCCAUUCCUGUUGUCAAGGCUUUGUCACUAUGCCACAGCCCAACUGGACUGAGAUUGUGAACAAAAAGCUCAAAUUCCCCCCCACACUCCUGCGUGCCAUCCAGGAGGGCCAGCUGGGUCUUGUGCAGCAGCUGCUGGAAUCCAGUUCCGAUGCCUCGGGUGCUGGGCCAGGUGGUCCUCUGCGGAAUGUGGAAGAGUCUGAGGACCGCUCCUGGAGGGAAGCCCUCAACCUGGCCAUCCGCCUGGGCCACGAGGUCAUCACUGAUGUUCUGCUGGCCAAUGUCAAAUUCGACUUUCGGCAGAUCCACGAAGCCCUGCUAGUGGCUGUGGACACAAACCAGCCAGCAGUGGUGCGUCGCCUGCUAGCGCGGCUGGAGCGGGAGAAAGGUCGAAAAGUAGACACCAAGUCUUUCUCUCUAGCCUUCUUUGACUCAUCGAUUGAUGGCUCCCGCUUUGCCCCUGGUGUCACUCCACUCACACUGGCCUGCCAGAAGGACCUGUAUGAGAUUGCCCAGCUGCUUAUGGACCAGGGCCAUACCAUUGCUCGGCCCCACCCAGUUUCCUGUGCCUGCCUCGAGUGCAGCAAUGCCCGCCGAUACGACCUGCUGAAGUUCUCACUAUCCCGAAUCAACACCUACCGAGGCAUUGCAAGCCGGGCUCACCUCUCGCUGGCCAGUGAGGAUGCCAUGCUGGCCGCUUUUCAGCUCAGCCGGGAGCUCAGGCGCCUUGCACGAAAGGAGCCUGAGUUUAAGCCUCAGUACAUUGCCCUGGAGUCUCUCUGCCAGGACUAUGGCUUCGAGUUGCUGGGCAUGUGCCGAAAUCAGAGUGAGGUCACCGCAGUGCUCAAUGACCUGGGUGAGGAUAGUGAGACUGAGCCUGAGGCUGAGGGCCUGGGUCAGGCCUUUGAGGAGGGCAUCCCCAACCUGGCAAGACUGCGGUUGGCUGUCAACUACAACCAGAAACAGUUUGUAGCACAUCCCAUCUGCCAGCAAGUUCUGUCUUCCAUCUGGUGUGGGAACCUGGCUGGCUGGCGUGGAAGCACCACCAUCUGGAAGCUCUUUGUUGCCUUCCUCAUCUUCCUCACCAUGCCCUUCCUCUGCAUUGGCUACUGGCUGGCGCCCAAGUCCCAGCUGGGCCGCCUGCUGAAGAUCCCGGUGCUGAAGUUCCUGCUGCAUUCUGCCUCCUACCUGUGGUUCCUUAUCUUCUUGCUGGGAGAGUCUCUGGUCAUGGAGACCCAGCUGAGCACCUUCAAAGGCCGCAGCCAGAGUGUCUGGGAGACUUCACUACAUAUGAUCUGGGUCACAGGCUUCCUAUGGUUUGAAUGCAAGGAGGUGUGGAUCGAGGGCUUGCGGAGCUACCUCCUGGACUGGUGGAACUUCCUGGACGUGGUCAUCCUGUCCCUGUACUUGGCAUCCUUUGCACUGCGCCUCCUCCUGGCUGGGCUUGCCUACAUGCACUGCCGUGAUGCCUCAGACAGCACCACCUGCCGCUAUUUCACCACAGCUGAGAGAAGUGAGUGGCGUACAGAGGACCCCCAGUUUCUGGCUGAGGUGCUCUUUGCUGUCACCAGCAUGCUCAGCUUCACCCGACUGGCAUAUAUUCUGCCAGCUCACGAAUCGCUGGGCACACUGCAGAUCUCCAUCGGCAAGAUGAUUGACGACAUGAUCCGGUUCAUGUUCAUCCUCAUGAUCAUCCUGACUGCCUUCCUCUGUGGCCUCAACAACAUCUAUGUGCCCUACCAGGAAUCCGAGAAGCUAGGCAAUUUCAACGAAACGUUCCAGUUUCUCUUUUGGACCAUGUUCGGCAUGGAAGAGCACACAGUGGUGGACAUGCCUCAGUUCCUGGUGCCUGAGUUCGUGGGCAGGGCCAUGUACGGCAUCUUUACCAUCGUCAUGGUCAUUGUGCUACUUAACAUGCUUAUUGCCAUGAUCACCAACUCCUUCCAGAAGAUCGAGGAUGAUGCUGAUGUGGAGUGGAAGUUUGCUCGCUCCAAGCUCUACCUGUCCUACUUCCGAGAGGGUCUGACGCUGCCUGUGCCCUUUAACAUCCUGCCAUCCCCAAAGGCCGCCUUCUACCUCGUCAGGAGAAUUUUCCGGUUCCUUUGCUGUGGCUCCUCCUGCUGCAAAGCCAAGAAGUCGGACUACCCGCCCAUCGGGACCUUUACCAACCCCGGGGCAAGGGCGGGCUCCGCCGGGGAAGGAGAACGCGUGUCCUACCGCCUUCGAGUCAUCAAGGCUCUGGUGCAGCGCUACAUAGAGACUGCCCGGCGCGAGUUCGAGGAGACCCGUCGGAAAGACCUGGGCAACAGACUGACAGAGCUGACCAAGACUGUGUCUCGACUGCAAAGCGAGGUGGCCAGUGUGCAGAAGAACCUGGCGGCGGGAGGGGCACCACGGCCUCCGGAUGGUGCCAGCAUCCUCAGUAGAUACAUCACCCGAGUGCGCAACAGCUUCCAGAACCUGGGCCCCCCUACCUCUGACACCCCAGCAGAGCUGACUAUGCCUGGGAUUGUGGAGACCGAAGUCUCUUUAGGAGAUGGCCUUGAUGGCACAGGUGAAGCUGGAGCUCCCGCUCCUGGAGAGCCCGGCUCUUCCUCCUCUGCCCAUGUGCUGGUUCACAGGGAGCAAGAAGCAGAGGGGUCAGGGGACUUGCUCCUGGAAGGAGAUCUGGAGACCAAGGGCGAGUCCUAAGGCAACAGAAGGGUCUCUUCUGUCACUAAGUGCAGCUGCUGUGUUGGGUAGAGCCAGGGUCUCACAGUAGAAGACCAUGGUGCUUUUUAAUAUUAUUAUUAUUUAUUUUAUUUUAUUUUAUUUUAUUUGUUUUUUUGCCUCAGUAAAAUUUCUGCUGUGGAAGUCAGAUGGUAGUCUCCAUCUCUUGGCAUCCUAAGAUUCCUUCCUUUACUUCCCCUAAAAUGGACGCUGUGGGAGGAGGGAAGAGAGAAACAGCUUGCUUUGAGUUCUGGGGUUUAGAAUCCUACUUUUGGGAUUCCUUAGGUCUUUAGUGAAAAACGUUCUGGCCUAGGAGACUGGAAGACUGGGAGCUAGGAGGCCAGAGAAGCAGGAGACCUGAGUGGGUAGGUCUGAGAGAUGGGAGGCCUGGAGGUGGUGCCCUUUCUUGGCCUGGCAUUCUCUUCAGGGAUGGGUAUCAAUCUAUCCCCUCCCUGACUUCAUGAGGCCCCUGUGGCUGUUAAGAAGCAUCAGGCACAGAGGCUACAAUGUGUGACCCGGAUGACUGGGAAAUUAGUUUCCAUCCCUCGACUUUCAAGCUUGUCAAGGACAAAUGACGUCAUGCAAUAAACCAGUC